UGAAUAUCCGCCGUCGAGAUUGUGAUCCGUGUGAAAAAUUGAAAGAAAUGGACGGUUGAUGAUGAAUCAGUUGAAGGGUCAAUUAUCAUGCUUUACAGUUUAACAAGCCAAUACAAAAUCCUGGUAGAAAAUCGUUAUGCGAAUGACAAAAAAUGGCUCCUCGCUUCAUUGCAGUUCACUUGAGGUUUUAUGUUUGAAGGGUAAAAAGGCGACCAUGUGGACCUGCAAGUCGCAACACCUCUGAGGUAGACGUAAAGUUGUUAACUAGGCAAGCGUGUGGAGCUGUUAACUAGGCUUGAUCCACCGCAACACGUGGGGUCACCAACUUGGUUUAUCGCACACAUUUAUUUUGGAUUUUGUGGUGACGUGUACUAUUGAAAGUGGGAACAAGAAGUGUCCGCUUAAUGUCUGUCGAGCUUGUUUGUUAAACAGACACCUGAACUCUUAUAUAGAUCACUAGCGGCAAAACUUGUGCUUGGUAUGCCAUUUAAGGUCAGGGCUCUUAUGAAACGGUAUGGGUCGAAACGGUUAGCGUCGAAACGGUAUGCGUCGAAACGGUACGGGUCGAAAUGGUUCGCUUCGAAAUGGUUGGCGUCGAAACGGUACGGGUCAAAACGGUUGUAAACAAUCCAAUCCAACUCAACUUUCAAAACACUACCAACUCUUUUGGUAAAUUUACAUAUGAAUGGAUUGAUUUGUGCUAUAUUAUGGGCCAAAAGAUGAUGUCGAAAUUAGUGGCUGAAGAUUCCGAGCUGACGCCUCUAGGACCAAGGUGAAUCCUUUUGGUGGUUCUCAAUCAGAAUCAAAUUCAAAUGCAAACAGUAAUCAAACUAUAAGAACUGUCACAAAGACACCAUUAAAAAGGUUCAAGGAAGCCGAUGGUGAUUUCGGUAAAGAGGAAGCUGGGAAACUAAUUUAACGUAAUUUGUUAAAAGAUGUAGCUUUUGGUGUUUUUUGUGCAGAAUAUUAAGGUAUGAUACAGAUACUCUACAUCUUGUGGGUUAUACAUAUUGCUCUGCUAUUUUGUAAA